UGGGGAAUAUUGGACAAUGGGCGAAAGCCUGAUCCAGCCAUGCCGCGUGUGUGUAGAAGGUCUUCGGAUUGUAAAGCACUUUAAGUUGGGAGGAAGGGCAGUAAGCGAAUACCUUGCUGUUUUGACGUUACCGACAGAAUAAGCACCGGCUAACUCUGUGCCAGCAGCCGCGGUAAUACAGAGGGUGCAAGCGUUAAUCGGAAUUACUGGGCGUAAAGCGCGCGUAGGUGGUUCGUUAAGUUGAAUGUGAAAGCCCCGGGCUCAACCUGGGAACUGCAUCCAAAACUGGCGAGCUAGAGUAGGGCAGAGGGUGGUGGAAUUUCCUGUGUAGCGGUGAAAUGCGUAGAUAUAGGAAGGAACACCAGUGGCGAAGGCGACCACCUGGGCUCAUACUGACACUGAGGUGCGAAAGCGUGGGGAGCAAACAGG
rnacentral:rRNA from 1 species